rnacentral:rRNA from 1 species
UACAGAGGUCCCAAGCGUUGUUCGGAUUCAUUGGGCGUAAAGGGUGCGUAGGCGGCGCGGUAAGUCGGGUGUGAAAUCCCAGAGCUCAACUCUGGAACUGCCUUUGAUACUGUCGAUCUGGAGUAUGGAAGAGGUGAGUGGAAUUCCGAGUGUAGAGGUGAAAUUCGUAGAUAUUCGGAGGAACACCAGUGGCGAAGGCGGCUCACUGGUCCAUUACUGACGCUGAGGUGCGAAAGCGUGGGGAGCAAACAGG